UGGGGAAUUUUGGACAAUGGGGGCAACCCUGAUCCAGCAAUGCCGCGUGAGUGAAGAAGGCCUUCGGGUUGUAAAGCUCUUUUGUCAGGAACGAAAAGGUAUCUCCUAAUAUGGGAUGCUGAUGACGGUACCUGAAGAAUAAGCACCGGCUAACUACGUGCCAGCAGCCGCGGUAAUACGUAGGGUGCAAGCGUUAAUCGGAAUUACUGGGCGUAAAGCGUGCGCAGGCGGUUUUGUAAGACAGAUGUGAAAUGCCCGGGCUUAACCUGGGAACUGCAUUUGUGACUGCAAGGCUAGAAUUUGGCAGAGGGGGGUAGAAUUCCACGUGUAGCAGUGAAAUGCGUAGAGAUGUGGAGGAACACCGAUGGCGAAGGCAGCCCCCUGGGCCGAGAUUGACGCUCAUGCACGAAAGCGUGGGGAGCAAACAGG
rnacentral:rRNA from 1 species